rnacentral:misc_RNA from 1 species
GUUCAACCGGGAGAGCUUGGGGGUUAAUGGCAGCGCCAACGGCAACGAUCCAUGGAGGGUAUCAUCAACCCACCACUCUAGAAGAAGUCAGAACCCUUUGGAUUGGUGAUUUACAGUAUUGGGUUGAUGACAACUACCUCAGUUCCUGCUUCGCUCACACUGGCGAGGUUCUUCUCUUUCCUUCAGUCUCUCCCUUCCACCUUUAUUUGAGUAUAUAUGCGCUUAUGUAUUGAUUUACAUGUAUGUGUGGAUGCUUGUGCGUGUAUUACUAUUUACUGGUUUAGAGGAUUUCUGUUGCGGCUGUCUUGAUGUUUGAUUUUCUUGAGAUUAUUUGUCGUAUGCAAUCGAACUUUACUGGGUUGUUGAUUAAUAUACAUUUUCAAGGGGAACCGUUAUAAUUUACUUGAAUUUUGAAUGCUAUCUUUGUAGAGAAUAGCGCUUGAUUUCUUCAACGUAGCUUUAAGAGACCGCAAUUCAGUUUCAAUUUCGUGAAUUAUAAAGAAGUUCUGGUAUUUAUUAGGUAAAAGACAGUGCUAAAGAUGACAUCUUUUGCUUACUACAGAUUUCACUGGCUUACGGUUGAAAAUUAGUUUUUGGGCCUUUUUUUUUAAAAGAAAAUUACUGAAAGAAACUGAAUUACAAAGGGGCGCCGACCCAUUUACGGAAGAAUUACUUAACGAUGGAGUAAAACUCCCUACAUCUAGACUAGGGCAACUGGAAACUAAUGCACAAGACGAAUUUUCAGAAGCUAUCAAACAAAAAGGCAUCAGCUGUAAGAAUUUCACUCUUGCAACACAUGUAUGAAGUCCAUUGGGAAUUGCAAAAAAUAGGAACCAAUUAGCAAGUUUCCUCAAUUAAUUUCCACUAGAACAAAACUUUAAUUUUUGUUGUUUCUAAAUUGUGAAGUGAAUCACUUUGUUAAAGGGCACUGAACUAGAACCAAUGUAAUAGACUUGUUUAAACUGCCAUGGGCUUUUCUUCUUGCAAUUCUAUUUUUGAGACUUAAUAAUUUCUAAUUGUUAAUUGGUUUCGGGUGCAUUGCAUGCUGUUCUAUAACAAUGAUUUUGGUGGAGAUGGAGUGGAAAAUGCAUAACAAAUAUGAAUAUUUCACUACUUAAAUACCCCCAGCCUUCUUUGAAUUAAGAUUUCAAUUGAUCCUAGAUGUUAAUGGGUGUUCAACUUUGAGGGUGUAGUUAGUUUUUCAUGCAAGCUUGUAGUUCUUGUGCUCCAUGCAUUGAUAUUCUAAAAUCCAUUCUGCUAAAUACAGG